rnacentral:tRNA from 1 species
UAGAAGAUAUUAUAGGGGUAGUAUUGGAAGUUUUGGGCUUCUAGGUUCAAGUUCGAGUCUUGGUCUUCUAG